GUUAGUUACAAAAUUCAGAAUUUGUUUAUUCAUAAAUAAUGGAAACAUCUAUGUUACCUACUGUUUACUUUCGAUAUUAUUAUAUUUCUACAUGUACAGUCAGUGUUAUAAUAAACGGGUACAGGUUUUGCAAUCUGAAAUAUAGGGUAUAGCUGUACUACAUUUGGUGAAUAUUGGACCAUUUUAAAUGGUACUGUCAUAACAUCUCACAAGAUAAAGUAACGCAACAUACUUUUCUACUUCUUAAUAGGCAAAUGACAGAUGACUUAGCAAUGUUAUGUCUUAAGCAAAAGCUAUACAGU